rnacentral:rRNA from 1 species
CCUACGGGUGGCAGCAGUGGGGAAUAUUGGACAAUGGGCGAAAGCCUGAUCCAGCCAUGCCGCGUGUGUGAAGAAGGCCUUCGGGUUGUAAAGCACUUUCAGUGGGGAAGAAAGCCUUGGGGCUAAUACCCUCGAGGAAGGACAUCACCCACAGAAGAAGCACCGGCUAACUCCGUGCCAGCAGCCGCGGUAAUACGGAGGGUGCGAGCGUUAAUCGGAAUUACUGGGCGUAAAGCGCGCGUAGGCGGUCUGAUAAGCCGGUUGUGAAAGCCCCGGGCGCAACCUGGGAACGGCAUCCGGAACUGUCAGGCUAGAGUGCAGGAGAGGAAGGUAGAAUUCCCGGGGUAGCGGUGAAAUGCGUAGAGAUCGGGAGGAAUACCAGUGGCGAAGGCGGCCUUCUGGACUGACACUGACGCUGAGGUGCGAAAGCGUGGGUAGCAAACAGGAUUAGAUACCCCAGUAGUC